UGAGGAAUAUUGGUCAAUGGGCGCAAGCCUGAACCAGCCAUCCCGCGUGAAGGAAGAAGGCGCUAUGCGUUGUAAACUUCUUUUCCAGGGGGAGAAUUUUUCCGUCGUGACGGGAAUUGACGGUACCCUGGGAAUAAGCAUCGGCUAACUCCGUGCCAGCAGCCGCGGUAAUACGGAGGAUGCGAGCGUUAUCCGGAUUCAUUGGGUUUAAAGGGUGCGUAGGCGGACUAUUAAGUCAGUGGUGAAAUCCUGCAGCUUAACUGCAGAACUGCCAUUGAUACUGAUAGCCUUGAGUUUGGUUAAGGUAGGCGGAAUGUGUAAUGUAGCGGUGAAAUGCUUAGAUAUUACACAGAACACCAAUUGCGUAGGCAGCUUACUGAGCCGACACUGACGCUGAGGCACGAAAGCGUGGGGAUCGAACA
rnacentral:rRNA from 1 species